rnacentral:rRNA from 1 species
CCUACGGGUGGCAGCAGUGGGGAAUGUUGCGCAAUGAUCGGAAGAGUGACGCAGCGACGCCGCGUGAAUGACGAAGGCCUUCGGGGCGUAAAGUUCUUUCGACAGGGAAGAAAAUGCCGAUAAGUAACUGUGUAUGUAUGUACGGUACCUGUACAAGCAGCCCCGGCUAACUCCGUGCCAGCAGCCGCGGUAAUACGGAGGGUGCGAGCGUUGAUCGGAAUUACUGGGCGUAAAGCGCUCGUAGGCGGUAUGUCAAGUCAAGGGUGAAAUCCCCGCGCUCAACGUGGGAACUGCCUUUGAAACUGGCAACCUGGAGUGUGUGAGAGGCUAGUGGAAUUCCAGGUGUAGUCGUGACAUCCGUAGAUAUCUGGAGGAACAUCAGUGGCGAAGGCGACUCUCUGGCACAUAACUGACGCUGAGGCGCGAAAGCGUGGGUAGCAAACAGGAUUAGAUACCCCUGUAGUC